rnacentral:lncRNA from 1 species
GCUUUAUUUAGGUCUCUUACAAAGGAGAAACAGAAAGUACUACUCUCAAAUAGGAAACAGGUGAACUCUACCAUACGGUGUUAAAAUCCGGUAAUUCAAAAACAGUACAUGCGUUGACUAGGAUGAACCACCUCAAGACUCUGUAUAUGCAGUUUAUACUAUAAAGUGCUACUUGAUAACCAAAUCUCCGCCAAAAAAAUUCCUUAAUGGGAGUAAGAUUGAUUGAUUCUCAUCAUACAGAUGAGCUUUCACUUAAAUUAAGGUUUUUAGAGACUGUUCAUAUGCCUUAGCUCUAUUUGAAUGUUUAUAAAUUUCUGUUCAUGUUACCAGAUCAUGCACUGUGGCUUUGUUUUUGCUACCUGGAGAUUGUACAGUGCCCUUUCUUAAACCCUCACUGAAUUAAUAUAUAUGUGAAACAAAAUUUCAGAACAAAAUUUGACUUGCGUGUUUAUUUGCAUAAGCCAAACAUUCAAAUAUUUCAUGUGGAAG